UUGCAGACCAAUAAGAGGUCUAGCCUGCCCAGUGACUUUGUUCAACGGCCGCGGUAUCCUAACCGUGCAAAGGUAGCGUAAUCAUUUGUCCCCUAAAUAGAGACUAGUAUGAAAGGCCUCACGAAAACUAAACUGUCUCCUCCCCCUAAUCAGUGAACCUAAUAACCCCGUGAAGAAGCGGGGAUCUCAAUAUAAGACGAGAAGACCCUAUGGAGCUUAAAACACUUCAUCACCUGCCACCCACCUAUUUCCCCGGCACGCUGAUUAUAUGUUUUUGGUUGGGGUGACCGCGGAGAAAAGCCCAUCCUCCGCAAUGAGGGAAUCUCCCCUAAACAAUAAGUCACAACUUUAUGAAUCAGAAAACUGACAUUAUCGACCCAAUAUAUUUGAUUAAUGAACCAAGUUACC
rnacentral:rRNA from 1 species